rnacentral:rRNA from 1 species
AGCGAACGCUGGCGGCAGGCCUAACACAUGCAAGUCGAGCGGAUGAGUGGAGCUUGCUCCAUGAUUCAGCGGCGGACGGGUGAGUAAUGCCUAGGAAUCUGCCUGGUAGUGGGGGACAACGUUUCGAAAGGAACGCUAAUACCGCAUACGUCCUACGGGAGAAAGUGGGGGAUCUUCGGACCUCACGCUAUCAGAUGAGCCUAGGUCGGAUUAGCUAGUUGGUGAGGUAAAGGCUCACCAAGGCGACGAUCCGUAACUGGUCUGAGAGGAUGAUCAGUCACACUGGAACUGAGACACGGUCCAGACCCCUACGGGAGGCAGCAGUGGGGAAUAUUGGACAAUGGGCGAAAGCCUGAUCCAGCCAUGCCGCGUGUGUGAAGAAGGUCUUCGGAUUGUAAAGCACUUUAAGUUGGGAGGAAGGGCAGUAAGUUAAUACCUUGCUGUUUCGACGUUACCAACAGAAUAAGCACCGGCUAACUUCGUGCCAGCAGCCGCCGUAACAC